rnacentral:tRNA from 1 species
GCCGAAGUGGUGGAAUUGGCAGACGCGCUGCGUUCAGGGCGCAGUGGGCAAUAGCCCGUGUGGGUUCGACUCCCACCUUCGGCACCA